CAGCAGCCGCGGGAAUACGUAGGUGGCAAGCGUUGUCCGGAAUUAUUGGGCGUAAAGCGCGCGCAGGUGGUUUAGUAAGUCUGAUGCGAAAGCCCACGGCUCAACCGUGGAGGGUCAUUGGAAACCGUUAAACUUGAGUGCAGGAGAGAAAAGUGGAAUUCCUAGUGUAGCGGUGAAAUGCGUAGAGAUGUGGAGGAACACCAGUGGCGAAGGCGACUCUCUGGUCUGUAACUGACGCUGAGGAGCGAAAGCGUGGGGAGCGAACAGGAUUAGAUACCCGAGUAGUCCCUGUCUCUUAUAC
rnacentral:rRNA from 1 species